ensembl:lncRNA
GUUUGUUUUUUAUAUAAAUCAAAAGCAACUUGUCUGGUUAUUAUCUUGGAUUGCUGAUGGUGUUGUAGCUAAAAAGAGAUUCUUUUUGUAAAGUGUGAAUAAAUUAUGUAUCAUGUUUCCUUUCUUUGACAUGAAUUGUCUUGUAUCAUGAUAUCUAUUAGUUGUUUUUGUCAUCCCCCCCCCCCCCCCAUGCUCAUGUUUGCUUUUUUGUAAUACUUGAAACCAAAUUUUUUGUAAAGAUGUUGGCACACUGAAUUAUAGAUUUAUAUGGUUGCUAACUUUCACUUCAAAAUACUUUUAAGAAAAAAAAAACUCCAGUGAAAUCUAGAGAAAAGUCGCAGAGAAAUAAAGAGCUGUCAUUUGUCACCAAAUGUGAUUUCUUAAAGCUUUGACAUUUCACCCAGUUUGGAAAGCAUAAAUUCGAUUAGUUUCGGGAAGCGUAGAUGCAGCACUGCCCUUGUUUCCUGUCCUCUUUCCUGUUUUCCUGUUUGUUUGGUCUUUGAUAGUUUCACAAGCUCUCACUGGAGGGAAGAAGUUAAGGGUUCGAAUGUAGGAGGCAGUGCAGACAUGUCUGGCCUACUGAAUUCUCUCUCUGACACACUUUUUCUCUCUCACCUGCUUGUCCUCCUUGUGCUCUGUUCUGUACUUUUUUUCUUCAGCUCAUUAAAAGCCAGUCACUUCUGAUAGUUGCAUUGGCUACCAUCAUAGCUGUUUGGGGAGUCAUUUAUUCUGUUUGUGAACAACAAUCUGACUCUGCCUCAUGCCAUCAGUAGGGUUAGUCAUGCAAUGGUAUCGAUUGUGAUUGAGAUGGAAAGUCAAUAAAUAUUUAGGAAAUGUCACUAUAUGAUGCACUGGACCAACUCUUGUUUACCAUUUAUGGACUACCAGCAAAACACUUGCACAAUGUUUUAAAAAGAAUGUUAAAUAUAUAAAUAUAUAUGAAGAAAUAUAGAUAUGAAAAAUAAUGGCAGCUGUUUUUAUUCUAAUAUUUAGGAAGUGUUUUAAAAAAAAACAAACAAAAAAAAAAAAAACACGAAUGGUAAACAAGGUGUUUUGGGUUUUAAUUUUUCCCCCUCUUCCCGUUCUCUUGGUUUUUUGUUGUUGUUUUUUUUUCCUUCUGAGUAGUGGUGUUUAUAACAGGGUCAGCUUGUGUUCCCUACACCUCUGUAUUUUUUCCUACCCAUGGUCAAAUAAAUUCAUCUGUUUCAAACCUGGUAGUGUUUUUCUUCUUUCAUUUCUCUACUAGGAAAAUUCAGUGAAAAUAUUUUAAGACAUUAGUGCCCUCUAGUGUUCAAGGAAAUGUUAACACGAGGGAGUAUUUUUGCUUGCUGAUGCUGGUCCUGUCCAGUAGGUGGCGUUCCUGCUCCACUGUCUGUCCGAACAUGUGGCGUAACGCAAUUAACCAAAGGAAAUCUCUUUUUAUGAUCCUGUGCCUGUCUUCCCCUGCUGAUGUGGUUAUGAGUUACUUUGGAUGCACCAGAAAAUGAUGCCCCAGGAGUUUCUGAACAGCUUCUGAAAGAAUAAAUGUUGAUCUAUUAUAUUUGCACUUAUAUAUUAUAAUAUUCUUACAUAAGAUUAACACUAUUUCUCUAUUAUAUUCUUAUCCACCUAAAAGCUGAAUGUAGUACAUAGUGUGUAAAGUAUUUCCAAAUAUUACCAAAAUAAAUCUUUUAUGGUGGUUUUAGCUCAGUGAUUAAGUGGCCAUGAGUUAUGAUCUCAGCACCGCCAAGCUGUCACUGCUGGGCCCCUGAGAAAGACCCUUAACCCUCGACUGCUCAGCUGUAUAAAUGAGAGAAAAGUAAGUCACUCUGGAUAAGGGUGUCUGCCAAAUGCUGUCAAUGUAAACAUUAUUAUAAAUAUUUCCAGUGCUAAAGUGAUGGAAAUUUUUGCUCUCUUCGGUGAAUCAGAUCAUUUGACUCAUAAGAGCCGACUAUUUCGGCUCCCAAACGGCUCAUUGUCA